rnacentral:rRNA from 1 species
GACGAACGCUGGCGGCGUGCUUAACACAUGCAAGUCGAACGGAAAGGCCCUGCGUUUGCUCGUUUCUCGAUUGGCGAACGCGGGAGUAACACGUGAGUAACCUGCCCUUAUCUUUGUGAUAACUUCACGGAACUGGGGCUAAUAUCGGAUAUGAUCUCCUGCUCCAUGUGGGUGGUUGGAGAGUGUCGGCUGUUGUGGAUCUACUCGCUGCUUACCAGCUGGUUUGUGAGGUAGUGGCGUACCAGGGCUUUGACGGGUAGCCGGCCUGAGAGGGUGACCGGGGACAUUGGGACUGAGAUAGGGCGCAGAAGCGUACGGGAGGCAGCAGUGGGGAAUUUUGCGCAGUGGGCGGGAGCGUGAUGUAGAAGUGUUGCGUGCGGGAAGCCGGCUUAUGGGUUGUAAACAGAUUUGGAAUGUGACGAAGAGUGCGUGACGGUAAUGGGUCAAGAAGCAACGGCUAACUACGUG